GUGAGGAAUUUUCCGCAAUGGGCGAAAGCCUGACGGAGCAAUGCCGCGUGAAGGAUGAAGGCCUAUGGGUUGUAAACUUCUUUUCUCAGAAAAGAAUUAUGACGGUAUCUGAGGAAUAAGCAUCGGCUAACUCUGUGCCAGCAGCCGCGGUAAGACAGAGGAUGCAAGCGUUAUCCGGAAUGAUUGGGCGUAAAGCGUCUGUAGGUUGUUUAAAAAGUAUUCUGUCAAAGAUUAGGGCUUAACCCUAGAUAGGCAGAAUAAACUUUUAAGCUAGAGUUUGGUAGAGGCAGAGGGAAUUCCCGGUGGAGCGGUGAAAUGCGUAGAUAUCGGGAGGAACACCAAAGGCGAAGGCACUCUGCUGGGCCAAUACUAACACUGAGAAACGAAAGCGAGGGGAGCAAAUGGGAUUAGAAACCCGGGUAGUCC
rnacentral:rRNA from 1 species